ACCUUUAUCUUUACCUUAAAGGCACCAGAUCCUGUCUGAUCUUGGUAGCUAAGCAGGAUCAGCCCUGGUUUGUAACUGGAUGGGGGAGAUCACUGACAAAUGCCAGGUGCUGUAGGCU
rnacentral:rRNA from 11 species